rnacentral:lncRNA from 1 species
CUAUAGUUUUCUUGUAGUAUCUUUGGUUUUGUUAUCUGGGAAUUGGGGGCCUCAUUAAAAUAGGGGAGGUGUUCCUUCCUUGUUUAUGUCCUGAAUUUGUAUAGAAUGCUAGAAAUAUUCCUGUGUGCACUGUUUUAGCUGCACCUCCUACAUUGUGAUGUAUUGGGAGCACAUGUAUCACAGCAAGUGUGAGCCAGCUGCUUUUUCCUUGAGGCAGGCAGAUUUCCUGAGUGAAGGUAAAGAGUUCUUGUGAAUCAGGCUGUAUAAUGUCUGAGGAGAACAGACUGACCCUUGUGGAAGCAAGGAAAGCUAGCUCCAGUACUGUUCCCAGUCCUAGUGAGCUUUGCUGUAAUGAUUUCAGCUGAAGUAUUUUAUUGACUUAGGGUAAGUUCCAUGUUUUAAAAGGCUGAAGUCUGGGGCCAACAAAUGUGAAGAAAAUUUAAAUAUCAGAAGGGAUCUGUAGAAGAAAAUCAACCAUCUGUAGUGUUUAAAGUAACAGCUCUAAAUUAACUGUGAGAAUAUGUGCAAGGAUUCUGUGAAGUCUUUUAGGUGAUUGAUGGGGGGUGCCAAAGUACAGCAAAUAAGAUUAGCAACUAAGCAAAAGAAUAAAAAAGAACUUGGGAAUAGGAAAAGGAAAGACAGUGGAAUGAAUCUGACAUAAUUUUCCUGUGUACAUAUAUAAAAACAACAUCGUGGAUCCCACCGUCUUGUACAUCCAUAAGAAGAGGAUCCUAACUGGAACAAAAUAC